UACAGAGGGGGCAAGCGUUGUUCGGAAUUACUGGGCGUAAAGGGCGCGUAGGCGGCCAACUAAGUCAGACGUGAAAUCCCCUGGCUCAACCAGGGAACUGCGUCUGAUACUGGUAGGCUUGAGUUCGGGAGAGGGAAGUGGAAUUCCAGGUGUAGCGGUGAAAUGCGUAGAUAUCUGGAGGAACACCGGUGGCGAAGGCGGCAUCCUGGACCAACACUGACGCUGAGGAGCGAAAGCCAGGGGAGCAAACGGG
rnacentral:rRNA from 1 species